AGCGAACGCUGGCGGCAGGCCUAACACAUGCAAGUCGGGCGCCGUAGCAAUACGGAGCGGCAGACGGGAGAGUAACACGUGGGAACGUACCCUUUGGUUCGGAACAACCCAGGGAAACUUGGGCUAAUACCGGAUAGGCCCUCACGGGGAAAGAUUUAUCGCCGAAGGAUCGGCCCGCGUCUGAUUAGCUAGUUGGUGGGGUAACGGCCCACCAAGGCGACGAUCAGUAGCUGGUCUGAGAGGAUGAUCAGCCUCACUGGGACUGAGACACGGCCCAGACUCCUACGGGAGGCAGCAGUGGGGAAUAUUGGACAAUGGGCGCAAGCCUGAUCCAGCCAUGCCGCGUGAGUGAUGAAGGCCUUAGGGUUGUAAAGCUCUUUCAGUAGGGAAGAUAAUGACGGUACCUACAGAAGAAGCCCCGGCUAACUUCGUGCCAGCCGCCGCGGUAA
rnacentral:rRNA from 1 species